rnacentral:rRNA from 1 species
GCAGUAAUGCAUUGAGCUGACCAGUACUAAUAGACCGUGUGACUUGACCCU